rnacentral:lncRNA from 1 species
GGAGGAGAGGGCAUCUGAUUGGUUGAAAAUGUUGUUCUUUCUAUGGGCUGCAACCCCCUUCAGCUCCUUCAGUCCUUUCUCUAAUUCUUCUAUUGAGGACCCCGUGUUUACCCCAAUGGGUGGCUGAGGGCAUCUACCUCUGUAUUUGUCAGGAUCUGGCAGAUCCUCUCAGGAGACAGCUCUAUCAAGAUUCCUGACAGUUUCAUGGACCAAAAUCUUGCUUUGCAGCCCAGGAUAGCCCUCCAAUUUGUGAUCUUUCUGUCUCAGUCUCCUAAGUGCCAGAAUUAUGGAUAUGUGCCACUUUGCCUGGAUUCAUCUUGUUUCCAUGUAUCGAUGCAGCCUUUAAAAAUUAAUAAUAAACUCUAGAAUAUUUACCAUGAAAUAAAACAUGAGACAUACUUUAAAAUAAAGCAACUGUGGAGAGUGCGAUAGAC